CCCUAUGGGCGCAGGGCGAUAGAGAGCAUCUACAUCAAGGACAGCGGCAUGUCCGCCGGCUCUGAGGUUCUCUUGCAGGCCAAGGACAAUGAUCUCUCCAUCAAGGAGGUGCCGAUCCACUGCCGGUACGAUGUGGAGAGAGCCUCGACCCAGAAUCCCGUAUCUCACGGGGUGAAGACGCUGAUCAAGAUCCUGCAUGAUAUGGAGCUGAGAAGGCCGCUUUAUUACUUCACAGUGCCUGGGAUUCUGCUGGCGGCCGUGGGGGUUGGAAUUGGCGGGAGAGC
rnacentral:rRNA from 1 species